rnacentral:rRNA from 1 species
CAGCAGCCACGGGAAUACGGAGGGUGCAAGCGUUAUCCGGAUUUAUUGGGUUUAAAGGGUCCGUAGGCGGAUCUGUAAGUCAGUGGUGAAAUCUCACAGCUUAACUGUGAAACUGCCAUUGAUACUGCAGGUCUUGAGUAAAUUUGAAGUGGCUGGAAUAAGUAGUGUAGCGGUGAAAUGCAUAGAUAUUACUUAGAACACCAAUUGCGAAGGCAGGUCACUAAGAUUUAACUGACGCUGAUGGACGAAAGCGUGGGGAGCGAACAGGAUUAGAUACCCGGUAGUCCCUGUCUCUUAUACA